rnacentral:tRNA from 1 species
GUUAGCAUAGCUCAGCGUUAGAGUGCACGCUCUGUAUGUAUGAUGCCCUGGGUUCAAUCCCCAGCUUCUCCCC